rnacentral:tRNA from 1 species
GAGGGUAUAGCUCAGUGGUAGAGUUCUGUGCUUAGCAAGCAUGAGGUCCUGGGUUCAAUCCCCAGUACCUCCA